CUGGCCGUUCAAAUACCAACCGUGCUGUUAUAUUUUCAAAUAAUGGCAAAAUUUUAUGUCUUUUCAAAUAGUGUUCAGCAACAUCUUCCAUUUUCUUCUCAUCCAUUCCUUCCAUUGCGCUCAUUUUCCUUUCGCUCCUGUUGUUGCUAGGCAACAGAUUAAUUGAGCUUGUCGAUAUUUUAUUCCAGCGGUAAACAAAAACAAUAUGGCUGCUAAAUUUGAAGAAAUGUCAAAUAUCGAAGUGACAUCUUUGUCAUCUGUCUCUGGAGAGGGCGAGGAAAAUGAUAUAUCCAAAGGCUUUGAAGUAAUUCCAGUUCAAUUGCAAAACACCAUCAGAAUAAUGAAAUCUUUUCAGGUAUCUGUAUUAAUG